UACGAAGGGGGCUAGCGUUGCUCGGAAUUACUGGGCGUAAAGCGUGCGCAGGCGGUUUGCUAAGACCGAUGUGAAAUCCCCGGGCUUAACCUGGGAACUGCAUUGGUGACUGGCAGGCUAGAGUAUGGCAGAGGGGGGUAGAAUUCCACGUGUAGCAGUGAAAUGCGUAGAGAUGUGGAGGAAUACCGAUGGCGAAGGCAGCCCCCUGGGCCAAUACUGACGCUCAUGCACGAAAGCGUGGGGAGCAAACAGG
rnacentral:rRNA from 1 species